ACAAGCCCAAAUAAAACACUUCUCCAACACCUAACCCGAAAACCCAUUAUUCCUGAACCUAACGCGCGUUGCCACCAAACCCAAAAACAAAGACCUGUGCUCUACUCCGGGGACGAUCUGCUCCAGCAUCUACUCCGACGACGAUCUGCUCCAGCGGUUGCUCCAUUGACGAUCUACUCCAGCGGCUAAUCCGGCGACGAUAUUCUCAGUGGCGAUCUUCUCAGUGGCGUUAUCCUCUGACGAGAUUGUGUGCUCUCUCCAGUGACGAUCUGCUCUAGAAGGUUCUCCUCCGGUGGCGUGUUCGCCUCCAGCUACAAUUUCUGUGUGAGAGCAAGAAACUUCAUAAAACUACGAGGAUCUGUUGCGCAAGUGUUUCCUCCGACGAUCUUCUUCGGCGGCGAUCUCCUCCAUCAACGCUUCUCUUCCAUUGAUGAGAUCUGUUGCGCAAGUGUUUUCUACGGCAUCGAGUUGUGUUCUGCGAUUUCUCCAUCUCCAUCGAGCUUCAUUGAGCAUCUAGGUUUUUUAUUUUCUUCCUUGUUAGAAGAAAUUGGAGGUGAUUGGUAUCUUUGAGGAGUUCCUUUCUUCUCAAGAUAGUGGUGCUCAUCAAUUGUCAGAAAAAGGAGUCUUGCAAGUUUUGUUAGAUGUAAAAUUUGCCACUGAUAUACUGUCUGGUGGUGAU